GCGGGCGUGGCGGAAUUGGCAGACGCACCGGAUUUAGGUUCCGGCGCUUUACGGCGUGGGGGUUCAAGUCCCUUCGCCCGCACCA
rnacentral:tRNA from 1 species